rnacentral:tRNA from 1 species
UCGGCGUGCAGGCGGGCCAGGACGCGGCGGACGUUGCCGUCGUUCACGGCGCGCGCCUCGUUCAGGGCGAGGCUGCUGAC